UAUCCCGUUUGGUUCAGGGAUAAGAAGCGGAAUAAUCCCUUAUCCCUUUUAUACCCAAAUACUACUUUUUUUUUUUUUAUCCAAAAAUAAUAGUUCUCGAGUAUUUAAAAUAAGUUGAGAUAAUUCGGUAUAAAUCUGGAAUAGUUGUUCCACCUUUAUCCUUAGAACAACCGGGAACAAAAUUAUUUAAACUUUAAAUAAUAAUUUUAAGUUAUUAAUUAAUCUAAUUAAUAUAUUUUAAUUAUUAAUUAAUUUAAUUAAUAUUAAAUUAUUAUUCUUGGAUAAUUUGCUAAGGGUGGGAAGAGCUGUUGGGAUGUUCCCACCCUAUUUUUAUUUUUAAAAUUUAAAAUUUAAAAUUUUAAUAUUUAAAAUUUAAAAUUUAAAAUUGUUAAUUUUUAAAAUUUAAUAUUUGAUAUUAUUCAAAGUUAAAUUUAAUCUUUAAUUUAAAGUUUGAAAUUUAAAAUUUAAAAUUUUAAAAUUUAAAAUUUGAUAUUUUAAAUUUUAAUUUUUAAUUUAAAUUUUUAAAAAUUUAAUUUUAAAUUUAAAAAUAUAAAUAUAAAAUUUAAAAAAUUAAAAAAUUAAAUGCAAAUAUAAUGAGAGGGGUAGCAUUAUUAUUUUUUAUUUAUAACUAUCUAUUAUUCUUCUUAUUCCAUCUUAUCUGUUCAAACGCUAUUUUUUUAUUUUCGAAAACAAUCUAAUUUUCACCCAAACGCAAAAUUAUUCUACUUCUUGCUUAUACCCAUUAGUUAGUUAAUUCGCGAAUUAUUCAUGAAUUUUUGAAGAAAUGAAUUAAGCAGCCGUAUUCGUAUUUUUCCAAAAAAUUCGAAAAAAAUGCAUUUUUUUGGUAAAAAAUACUUAUUCUUGAAUAAUUCGCAGGCGCUGAAUUAUUCGCCCAAAAAGACGCGCGGUCGCUGUCGCGCUCGAGCUCGCGCUCGCGCUUGCGCGCUGGUCGCGGGCCUCGCGGCUCGCCCAAAACAGAAAAAAAAACCCUGUUCGCCUCGCCCAAAACUGAAACCCAGCAAAUCUCUUCUUAUUUGCUUAAUUAUUUAUUUAUUUUGAGACAUAAUAUAGUUUGCUAUUUUUUUUUACUUAAUUAGCUUAAUUUUGUAGCUCUUUAUUGUUAUAUUCUUAAGAAAUAUAAAUAUUUAUAAUAAUAGCAUAAAUUUUGAGAGAAAAAAAACUUAGUUUAAUAGCCGAAUUUUUUAUCCCAAAUUUUUAAUUGGUGAACGUAUAAUAUCCAUGUAAAUCACCUAUUCGAAUAAUUGAUAAAUCCAUUUUUUGGCCGUAUUUUUCAACAAAUCUAAAAAUUAGAAGACGAAUUUCAUCCGAAUUAUAUCCGUACCGAUUUUUCGUCGAAUCUGAAUUAACUAACUAUAUUUAUACCUAAACUUAUAUCUAUCAUUGGAAUAGACAAUUCUUGCUUAUACCCGAACCAAACGAUACCUUAGGACGUGUUUGCUUCCACUUUCUUUAAUUCUAAAAUCAGAAUCGAAAUAAAUAAAUCUCGUUGUAGUGUUUGGUACACGCGAGUUCCAUUUCCAUUUCAAUUUUCAG
rnacentral:lncRNA from 1 species